UGGGGAAUUUUGGACAAUGGGCGAAAGCCUGAUCCAGCAAUGCCGCGUGUGUGAAGAAGGCCUUCGGGUUGUAAAGCACUUUUGUCCGGAAAGAAAUCCUUGGCUCUAAUACAGUCGGGGGAUGACGGUACCGGAAGAAUAAGCACCGGCUAACUACGUGCCAGCAGCCGCGGUAAUACGUAGGGUGCGAGCGUUAAUCGGAAUUACUGGGCGUAAAGCGUGCGCAGGCGGUGAUGUAAGACCGAUGUGAAAUCCCCGGGCUCAACCUGGGAACUGCAUUGGUGACUGCAUUGCUCGAGUAUGGCAGAGGGGGGUGGAAUUCCACGUGUAGCAGUGAAAUGCGUAGAGAUGUGGAGGAACACCGAUGGCGAAGGCAGCCCCCUGGGCCAAUACUGACGCUCAUGCACGAAAGCGUGGGGGAGCAAACAGGAUUAGAUACCCUGGUAGUCCACGCCCUAAACGAUGUCAACUGGUUGUCGGGCCUUCAUUGGCUUAGUAACGUAGCUAACGCGUGAAGUUGACCGCCUGGGGAGUACGGUCGCAAGAUUAAAACUCAAAGGAAUUGACGGGGUC
rnacentral:rRNA from 1 species